GACGAACGCUGGCGGCGUGCCUAAUACAUGCAAGUAGAACGCUGAAGGAGGAGCUUGCUUCUCUGGAUGAGUUGCGAACGGGUGAGUAACGCGUAGGUAACCUGCCUGGUAGCGGGGGAUAACUAUUGGAAACGAUAGCUAAUACCGCAUAAGAGUAGAUGUUGCAUGACAUUUGCUUAAAAGGUGCAAUUGCACCACUACCAGAUGGACCUGCGUUGUAUUAGCUAGUUGGUGGGGUAACGGCUCACCAAGGCGACGAUACAUAGCCGACCUGAGAGGGUGAUCGGCCACACUGGGACUGAGACACGGCCCAGACUCCUACGGGAGGCAGCAGUAGGGAAUCUUCGGCAAUGGACGGAAGUCUGACCGAGCAACGCCGCGUGAGUGAAGAAGGUUUUCGGACCGUAAAGCUCUGUUGUAAGAGAAGAACGAGUGUGAGAGUGGAAAGUUCACACUGUGACGGUAUCUUACCAGAAAGGGACGGCUAACUACGUGC
rnacentral:rRNA from 1 species